CAUUAGCGUAUAUUAAAGUUGUUGCAGUUAAAAGCUCGUAGUUGGAUGUCUGACAUGAUGAGCCUGGCCCGGCAGUCAUUUAGACUGGUUGUGUGCCGGUAUUUUUGGGCGUUGGCUCUGGUUCUCCCUUCGUGGUGAGAUCGGGCUGGCGUUCGCUCAUCGGUCAUCCUUGAUCAGAAUCUGUCUACCAUUUAUUUGGCCGGGCAGACGAUGAUCAUCAUUUUACUUUGAGAAAAUUAGAGUGUUUAAGGCAGACUUAUGUCGUGAAUACAUUAGCAUGGAAUAAUAAGAUAGGACUUCGGCACCGCUGCUGCUGACUUCGGUCGGUGGCUGGCCUUUCUAUUUUGUUGGUUUCUAGAGCUGAAGUAAUGAUUGAUAGGGAUAGUUGGGGCGCUCGUAUUGCUUGGCCAGAGGUGAAUUCUCGGAUUCAAGUAAGACGAACUAAUGCGAAAGCAUCCGUCAAGGAUAUCCUCUUUAAUCAAGAACGAAAGUUGGGGGAUCGAAGAUGAUCAG
rnacentral:rRNA from 1 species